rnacentral:rRNA from 1 species
CCUACGGGUGGCAGCAGUGAGGAAUAUUGGUCAAUGGACGAGAGUCUGAACCAGCCAAGUAGCGUGAAGGAUGACUGCCCUAUGGGUUGUAAACUUCUUUUAUAUGGGAAUAAAAUGUUCCACGUGUGGGAUUUUGUAUGUACCAUAUGAAUAAGGAUCGGAUAACUCCGUGCCAGCAGCCGAGGUAAUACGGGAGAUCCGAGCGUUAUCCGGAUUUAUUGGGUUUAAAGGGGGCGUAGGUGGAUUGUUAGGUCAGUUGUGAAAGUUUGCGGAUCAACCGUAAAAUUGCAGUUGAAACUGGCAGUCGUGAGUACAGUAGAGGUGUGCGGAAUGCGUGGUGUAGCGGUGAAAUGCUUAGAUAUCACGAAGAACUCCGAUUGCGAAGGCAGCUCACUGGACUGCAACUGACACUGAGGCUCGAAAGUGUGGGUAUCAAACAGGAUUAGAUACCCUAGUAGUC